rnacentral:rRNA from 1 species
AUUGAACGCUGGCGGCGUGCCUUACACAUGCAAGUCGAACGGUAACAGGUCUUCGGAUGCUGACGAGUGGCGAACGGGCGAGUAAUACAUCGGAACGUGCCUAGUAGUGGGGGAUAACUACUCGAAAGAGUGGCUAAUACCGCAUGAGAUCUACGGAUGAAAGCAGGGGAUCGCAAGACCUUGUGCUACUAGAGCGGCCGAUGGCAGAUUAGGUAGUUGGUGGGAUAAAAGCUUACCAAGCCGACGAUCUGUAGCUGGUCUGAGAGGACGAUCAGCCACACUGGGACUGAGACACGGCCCAGACUCCUACGGGAGGCAGCAGUGGGGAAUUUUGGACAGUGGGCGCAAGCCUGAUCCAGCAAUGCCGCGUGCAGGAUGAAGGCCUUCGGGUUGUAAACUGCUUUUGUACGGAACGAAAAGCCCCGGGUUAAUACCCUGGGGUCAUGACGGUGCCGUAAGAAUAAGCACCGGCUAACUACGUGCCAGCCGCCGCAGUAA